rnacentral:rRNA from 1 species
GCCACGGCUACUACGUGCCAGCAGCCGCGGUAAUACGUAGGUGGCGAGCGUUAUCCGGAUUUACUGGGUGUAAAGGGCGUGUAGGCGGUCUUUUAAGUCGGAAGUGAAAAUUCAUGGCUCAACUGUGAACUUGCUUACGAAACUGGAGGGCUUGAGUGAUGGAAGGGACAGUGGAAUUCCUGGUGUAGUGGUGAAAUGCGCAGAGAUCAGGAAGAAUACCAGUGGCGAAGGCGACUGUCUGGACAUUAACUGACGCUGAGGUACGAAAGCGUGGGGAGCAAACAGGAUCAGAUACCCUGGUAGUCCACGCUGUAAACGAUGAGUGCAAGGUGUUGGGGGUCAAACCUCGGUGCCGCCGUUAACACAGUAAGCACUCCGCCUGGGGAGUACGUACGCA